rnacentral:snRNA from 3 species
UUGCCUUAGCAGCAUAUAUAGUAAAAUUGGAAUGAUACAGAGAUUAUCAUGGCCUCUGCACAAGGAUGAUACACAAAUUUGUGAAAUGUUCUAUAUUUUG